GAUAUCUCUAAGUUUCUCUUAUCUCUCUGGGCUGUCUUUGUGUCUCUCUUCCUGAAAGUUUUAUCUUGUGUUGUGUUCUCUCUUAUUGUAGGCUAAGAAAUAGUAUUGCUGAACGUUCAUUAUUCUCUUGCUUAAACCCUUGGAAUCAUGAUAAAACUUUUUAAACGAUUCCUUGGGUAGAAAGCAAUCUGGAAAAUCUGGAAAUAUUGAAUUAAUACUCCCAACAUAUACACACAAAUACACGCAAGAAAAAAAACAUAUUUGUAAGCUGUUCAUAAAAUUUGGUGUUGCAUUUAUAUAUGAACAACAAGAUGUUUUUUUUUGUAUUUACCAAAGGGGAAAAUGAAGAAGGAAAUAGACUGUUCUUAAGUUCAUAAUGCUCAUUUACUGUUGUAGAAGUUUUAAAUAUUUUUUAUGAAGAAAAAGUGUGUGCAAAUGAGUUGGAAGGAUAUGAUCUUCUAACAUAUACACACUUACCAAAUAUAAACACCAUACAUUACUAUGAACUGAAAAACAAAAACAAAUAUGCAACCCAUGAAUAGGAAAUCAAUCAAUGUAAUGGUAUCCAAGAAAUGGAAACCAAAAAUUUCAAGCUAUCUUAAUUUUGUGUUGACAUAUUACUUUUUUUUUGUUAAAAAUAAGGUAAAUAAAAUUUUUAAUAUAUUAAAAUUUUGACAAAUCAAUAACAUGCUUAAUUACCAUCAUUUUUACAAUAUGAUUAGACUAUAUUUAGAAUCAUUUCAAUUAUGGAAUUAAUUUAUGUCAUAGCCCACCAAAAGACAAGAGCAUUAACACCUAAACCUAGACAGUAACCAUAAGAUAUGCUGAGGCAGAAAAAUUCGACAACAGCUCCACCAUCUACAACUACCGAAUUAUUAUUUUUUUGGGACAAACAAGCAGUGAAUGGAGAAUGCAUUGGAGAUCCAUCAUGAGUGAGGAAAGCCAAAACUCACCUCCGCAUGCAUUAAGUAGUACAGGCAGUGGUUCCACACGAAAGGUAAAACACAUCUAUAUAGACCAUAACAAAACAAAGUAAAUGUUGUUAAAAAGACAAAAGAAAAUAAAUAAGGUUAUGAAUCUAUAAAACAGACAAUCACAUAUUCACUACUAAAAAUAAAAGUGAACAUGCUAACCAGCAUACAACCACUAUGUUGCAAAUUUAACUAAACUCAUAUUUUAUUAACAGAUUAGAGCCAUCUCCAACACAUCACAUCAGUGGUGAAAUUAACCAACUAGAAGAUGGCAUCUCAAGCCCAACUCGAACCAUCAUCCCACAAUUUUCUAUUUAUGUCUAUAGGAUAUUUCAUGGUACACUCCUCUACACUCUACAAACUUCACGUAUAUUACUUUUAACUUUUUUUUUUAAAAAAAAAAUAACAAAAUGCUUGAUCGUUAGGUUUAGAAUGAAGUUAGGUUUAGAAUGAAGCUAAAAGAUUUUUAGAUUUCUUCAAGUUAGUCUUAUAUUAAAUGGUAUUUCUAAAGUUAAACUGUCUACAUGCUUUCUUAUGAUAUUUUUUUGCUUUUCUAAAUAAAAUCACAAACUCUUCAGAUUGAUGUGUUGUAAAUAUAGCUUUGGGGGCAAAGGAGACCAUCAACAAAACAUUAAUAAAGGGACAACAUGAUCUCUACCUACUUCUGAGGCUCAAAAAUUUGUAAAUUCUUUAUAACAAAUUUAUCAAAUGAUAUCAUAUAUUAUAUAAACUUAAAAGGAAAAUUAUAAAACCACAUUAUCCGCGCGUAGCGCGGACACGGACCUAUUAUAUUAUAUAUAAUGAGGCUCUUUCCUCUCUUCUCAGGGCAUCCACGUAUGCAAAACAUUAAUUUUGUGGGUCCCCAUUUAUUGUUCAGUUUUCGUUUUGAUUUGUUCGCACGGUUUGUUGAUUGGGCCAGUUAUGUUAGAUCUAAUUGUGAUUGUCGUCUGGGCUGACUUAGGCCAACCUUGCUUACAUUCACUCAUGCGCUAAACGUUAUGUUCCGUGAAUAUUCCAGAAUUAGGGCUUCGUCGUUGUUACCUUCCUCACAUAAUCAAACCGCCAUAUUCUGUUUUCUGAUCUUAAAAAAACCGUUCCUCUUCUCAUAUCUACACUUCACCUUCCCGUAUCUCUUGACCUCCCUUUAGGUUCGAUGUCUUGCUUUAAUUCACGAGUUAUUGUUACUCACAUCAAUCCCAGAUCUCGCCGCUUCCGUUUACUUCGCGUUCAAUCUAUAUAUAUCAGCUUCUCGAGAGGAUGAUUGCCCCUCGAAAUCUUUGUCAGUUUAUCAUUUUCUAAACUCUAGAAAGUUUGUCAGAUGUGGCUUCCUCUGAUGUUGUUCUCGCUCACUCCACCUUCGAUGCUCUCCGACUGGGUAGAUCUGCCCAGAUCAUUGUUGGUCGUCUCCUCCGUUUCGGGGACUCGAAAAAUAUCAAGAAGCAAGGUGAAUUCAUGGGCAUCACUCUCCUCUUCCUUGACGAGAAGAAUUCCGUCAUACAUGGAUUCAUUCCUGCCGGUCGCGCUCCUUAUUACCGUCCGUCCUUGCGAGUGGGUUCAGUUGUCAGAGUCUCCCGCUUUGAAGUUGCAAGAUGUAUAAAUAUGUACAAGAUUACGGAUCACCUCUGCCUCAGCUCAACCCCGGCGACUAGAGUUUUUUUUCAGCCCCGACCUUCCAGACACCAAACAAUUCAAAUUGAGCUUAAGUGGUCCAGGAGGUGAGCACUUCAACUGGUUGGACGACAACGCGGCAAUCAGUAACAAACAACUUUGCUCGGUUGGAGAUCUCAACAUGUUCCUCUCCAGCUCUACCACCCAGGAAGGUUUUAUCUACAAAGCCCGGAUUGUUGAGGUAUUGACCCAAAAUGGAUGGAACUAUCUCUCUUGCAUUCAUUGCAGCAAAGAAAUUGAGCAAUCUGGCGCAACUCUCCACUGCAACCGAUGCUUUAAUUCCAAUAUCACCGGUGUUGUGAGAAAUAUUGGUUGAUGAUGGGAAUAAUUAUGCCAUUGUUGUGGUGUUAAACAAGGAGAUGCUCAAACUCACUAAGCAAGACGCAGCUACUCUGUUUCUUAAUGAGGUCAAUAGUGGUGGCGACGGGAAACUCCCUCAAUGCAUUGAGGAACUUGAAGGGCAGACAUUUAUUUUUCAUAUACAUGUCUCGCCCAGCAAUUCUGUCUUGCCCAGCAAUUCUGCUUCUUCCCACUGCCCGUUCACAGUCUCUGCAAUCAGUGGGAAGAUUACUACAGAGGAUUUCAACAACAAUGAAACCCCAUAUGCUGUAAGGGAAUUCAGCGAAGCAUCCACUUCCGCUUCUCCCAUAAACACGUCAACUGUUGAAGUUGAACAAGGUGGACGCAAAGACGCACGUGAGUGAGUCUUUGAAGGAACCAAAACAUCAACCCAACUCUGCUUACCACUUCUUAGCUAUUUCAAUAUUACUAUGCAUUUACUCUUUCAGACUUUCUAAAUUUGCUCUUUUCUCAGUUUUUUUUCCAAAAAAAAAAAACAUUUCCUUCAUUGUAUCGCAUAUGAGGAUCACAAUUCUCAAGUUUAAUAGUUUGACACGGGUUGACGUCAUAUUUAUAAUAGUUGUUUCAAUUUUUAUAAAAAAAUGCCACAACCCAUGCAGUUUUAACGUAAAGUCCACAUAGUUCUCACAUUACAAUAUUACAUUCCUAUAAUAGCAGAUAUCACACGUUAUACAUGUCUAACUACUUAGCAUUACAAAAAAUCACUUCACUCUCCUUCUUCUUAUACUUCUCUUCACUCUUCUUCUUCUACAACACUCCACCUCCGUCAACAUUUCCGAACUACAACUGCUCAAGUGUUCACAACAUCCCCGCGCGAGCGCGGGGCUCCGCCCGUAAUGUAUUUCAAGGUUCUUGAAUUUGUAGUUUAGAAGACCAAGGAAAACGCCUAAUGAAACAAUCGAAUAUAUGAAGGGUAUCAAAAGAUCAUUAAGUAUUGUACAAAAAUGCCUUUGUUAUUUAAUUAUAACAUAUUUAAAAAAACAUAUUUUAAAUUAAUAUCAAUAAAAUACAACAUAAAAGAUAAAUAGAAUUGCAAUCAAAGCCACCGUUUAACAAUAGAGGGAGAUUAUAUUAUUGAUAAGGCAUUUCAAAUCUUAAAUAUUGUCAAGGAGCUUCCAUUGAUACACAUGAGUGAUUCGAUCUCCGCCAAAGCUAAACUCUUAAUUUGAUCUUCUGAGAAAUUUAAAUCUGAAAGAAAAGAAUCAAAUUUAAAUUAUAAGCAUUAGCAUUAUAAUGAAAUUUAAUUAGUAUUACUUAUCCAACUUUUUUUGGAUAAAAAAGGAUCUUACUUGUAUUAUCCAUUUUUUUCCUUUCGUUGCAUAAUAUAUCUGUUGAUAGUAUUUUCCAAGUAGUAUUCCAUAUGUUUUCUGGAGUUAUGGUAUUAUUUGAAAGCAACAUUGUACAAAACAGUUGACGAAGACACUUUGCUGAACACCAAAAACUUGCUUCACUUUGCUGAACACCAAAAACUUGCUUCUUUAAUAGCUUCGAUAUAUUCUUUAUCAUCGUCGAUCGGAACCUGCAGGGGUUUGAGUUUUUCCUCAACUGAAUAAGUAUUGGUCAAAAGAGAAGAAGAAUUUUUUUAGGUGUGUGAUAUCUUGCAUAUUUCUAUUGUUUUAUCCAUUCAUCCAUGUGCAUUUUGAUCAUAUAGAUUAGGAUUUAGCCAUGUUUAGGUUGCAUUUUGCAUACAUGAGUCCUUAUCAGGUAUUGGAGUACCACAUGGAGUUCUUGGAAACACUUGGAGGCAUUUGGAGCUCAAAAAAGAGUGUUUAGAGUGGUCAUUGGGCGAGCAAGGCAUGGGAGCGACUAGUCCGGAGCGACACCACCAAGUCGCUCUGAUCACCAGUCUGGAGCGACCUCACUAGAGCGACAGGAAAGAGUCGCUCGCGUAUUGAUCACCCGGAGACAACGGAUCCGGAGCGACCUCUCGCAGCGUCACAGCGAGGUCGCUCCCGAAUCAUGGAAUUUCAGAGAGUGAAAGAUGAACACGGAUGAAAGCUUUAAAGAUCUUUUCUGAAGCUCAAAAUUUGUGGAGACACUGGAAAUUGAGUUAGCUUUCCAAUGGAAGUGGUUUCAAGUCAUUUGGAGAUGUAUUGGAUAAGUUAUAAUCGAUUUACUACAGGUGUAUCAACCCUUACCGGGGACCACUGGAAAGUUGAUGGGAUUAACCAACUUCCCACUUUCUUCCACCCACUUUUCCUUUGCACGAUUUUUCCUACUUUUCUGUAUAAUAUUUGCUUUCUUUUUAUCCAAAGAGUGGGCAAGAAACAUGAGUAUUGUACUGGGUAAUAAAAAAAAAACUUGUCAAAACUCUCUCUCUUUGAAAUAUCAUUGUUCUUAGUGUUCUUGAGCUGUUCUUCAAUUGUUCAUCAUCUGUUCUUGAGUUCUAAUUUCGUUUUGCUUGUUUAAUCCUUGUUUAUCUUUAUUCUCUGUUGUAUUUACUUGAAUAU